rnacentral:piRNA from 1 species
UACACAGGAUCCAAGGUCACGAGAAGC